rnacentral:rRNA from 1 species
GUCUACGGCCAUACCACCCUGAACGCGCCCGAUCUCGUCUGAUCUCGGAAGCUAAGCAGGGUCGGGCCUGGUUAGUACUUGGAUGGGAGAAAUGGACCCUCAACU